rnacentral:rRNA from 2 species
GGCGGUGUGCCUAAUACAUGCAAGUCGAACGCGUUGGCCCAAUUGAUUGAUGGUGCUUGCACCUGAUUGAUUUUGGUCGCCAACGAGUGGCGGACGGGUGAGUAACACGUAGGUAACCUGCCCAGAAGCGGGGGACAACAUUUGGAAACAGAUGCUAAUACCGCAUAACAUCGUUGUUCGCAUGAACAACGCUUAAAAGAUGGCUUCUCGCUAUCACUUCUGGAUGGACCUGCGGUGCAUUAGCUUGUUGGUGGGGUAACGGCCUACCAAGGCGAUGAUGCAUAGCCGAGUUGAGAGACUGAUCGGCCACAAUGGGACUGAGACACGGCCCAUACUCCUACGGGAGGCAGCAGUAGGGAAUCUUCCACAAUGGGCGCAAGCCUGAUGGAGCAACACCGCGUGAGUGAAGAAGGGUUUCGGCUCGUAAAGCUCUGUUGUUAAAGAAGAACACGUAUGAGAGUAACUGUUCAUACGUUGACGGUAUUUAACCAGAAAGUCACGGCUAACUACGUGCCAGCAGCCGCGGUAAUACGUAGGUGGCAAGCGUUAUCCGGAUUUAUUGGGCGUAAAGAGAGUGCAGGCGGUUUUCUAAGUCUGAUGUGAAAGCCUUCGGCUUAACCGGAGAAGUGCAUCGGAAACUGGAUAACUUGAGUGCAGAAGAGGGUAGUGGAACUCCAUGUGUAGCGGUGGAAUGCGUAGAUAUAUGGAAGAACACCAGUGGCGAAGGCGGCUACCUGGUCUGCAACUGACGCUGAGACUCGAAAGCAUGGGUAGCGAACAGGAUUAGAUACCCUGGUAGUCCAUGCCGUAAACGAUGAGUGCUAGGUGUUGGAGGGUUUCCGCCCUUCAGUGCCGGAGCUAACGCAUUAAGCACUCCGCCUGGGGAGUACGACCGCAAGGUUGAAACUCAAAGGAAUUGACGGGGGCCCGCACAAGCGGUGGAGCAUGUGGUUUAAUUCGAAGCUACGCGAAGAACCUUACCAGGUCUUGACAUCUUGCGCCAACCCUAGAGAUAGGGCGUUUCCUUCGGGAACGCAAUGACAGGUGGUGCAUGGUCGUCGUCAGCUCGUGUCGUGAGAUGUUGGGUUAAGUCCCGCAACGAGCGCAACCCUUGUUACUAGUUGCCAGCAUUAAGUUGGGCACUCUAGUGAGACUGCCGGUGACAAACCGGAGGAAGGUGGGGACGACGUCAGAUCAUCAUGCCCCUUAUGACCUGGGCUACACACGUGCUACAAUGGACGGUACAACGAGUCGCGAACUCGCGAGGGCAAGCAAAUCUCUUAAAACCGUUCUCAGUUCGGACUGCAGGCUGCAACUCGCCUGCACGAAGUCGGAAUCGCUAGUAAUCGCGGAUCAGCAUGCCGCGGUGGAAUACGUUCCCCGGGCCUUGUACACACCGCCCGUCACACCAUGAGAGUUUGUAACACCCAAAGUCGGUGGGGUAACCUUUUUAGGAGCCAGCCGCCUAAGGUGGGACAGAUGAUUAGGGUGAAGUC